rnacentral:lncRNA from 1 species
CCUGCCCGCGGGCGAGCCGGCGCUUCAGCUUGUCGGCCCCGAGCCUGCGCAGUGGCAUGUGAAAGAACAUUGGCUUGUUCCACCUAUCACCUUAUCUUCUGAAGACCACGUAUUUGAAAAGUUAGAAGCAAUUAUUGAUGAGGAGAAUGACAUGCUUGAUCUGGCCUGUGGACUAACCAUCAUGUAAGAUUUUAGGACUAUUAGAGGUCUGAAUAAAAGUUUUUCAGAGCAUCUACUGCAGCUGUGGACAAGUAACCAUGUGUGUUCGUGCCAACUGGCACGUUCUUGGAGCAGUCUUGUGCUGAAACCUUACUGCAGGAUGCCACCGGAAUGCUCAAUGGCUUGGAUUUAGAACGUUGCUUCAGUUGAAUUUCUUCAUUUUUAGGCUGGUCCAAGUCAAAAUCACUCAGAGUUAAACAUGCCUUCUGAUUCAGGGGAUAAGAGAGGGGUUGGAUUACUCAGAGCAAUGGUCAGACAAAGUCAUCGGAAAGAAUUUGGAAAAAAGAAGGCUUCCAAAGAGCCACUGUGA